AAUAGAUACCCGGGUAGUCCACGCCGUAAACGAUGAGUGCUAAGUGUUAGGGGGUUUCCGCCCCUUAGUGCUGCAGCUAACGCAUUAAGCACUCCGCCUGGGGAGUACGGUCGCAAGACUGAAACUCAAAGGAAUUGACGGGGGCCCGCACAAGCGGUGGAGCAUGUGGUUUAAUUCGAAGCAACGCGAAGAACCUUACCAGGUCUUGACAUCCCGCUGACCGCUAUGGAGACAUAGCUUUCCCUUCGGGGACAGCGGUGACAGGUGGUGCAUGGUUGUCGUCAGCUCGUGUCGUGAGAUGUUGGGUUAAGUCCCGCAACGAGCGCAACCCUUGUCCUUAGUUGCCAUCAUUCAGUUGGGCACUCUAAGGAGACUGCCGUACAAAUACGGAGGAAGGUGGGGAUGACGUCAAAUCAUCAUGCCCCUUAUGACCUGGGCUACACACGUGCUACAAUGGACGGUACAAACGGUUGCGAAGUCGCGAGACGGAGCCAAUCCGAGAAAGCCGUUCUCAGUUCGGAUUGCAGGCUGCAAC
rnacentral:rRNA from 1 species